rnacentral:tRNA from 1 species
GGGAAUGUGGCUUAGUGGUAGAGUGUUUGCCUAGUAUGCAUGAAGCCCUGGUUCAAUUCCUCAGUUCUA